UGAGCAACGGUGGUUCCUUCCAGGAUGAUAUGCUGCCUCUGUAGAGCACUUAAAAAGCUCAUCUUCGGGCACUUGUACUCACUUUCACACGGCGCUGGAAUCGCGAGCCCUUUCUGUCCGUCUCGCCGUGUGAGUUGGAGUCAGCAGAGGGGACACAGAUGGGAAUGAUGUUGACCCGCGAGAUCUGCAGCAACAAAAUCAGACAAGGGCUUAGAAGCAUCUUUCUGCCCAUAAAUCCUCCAGUCCGGUGUUUCCUGCUGAGUAAAGCAAUCUCCGAGUCACCCAGGAGAGUAAGAUUUAUGCCAGGGGUUACACAGAUCACGUGGAGUCUGGCUGCAGAACCCUCAGGGACCAAAGUGUGUGCCUGGCGUCUGGAUGGAGCAUGACAAGGACAUGAGCAUCAAACCUUUGGGAGAGUAAGGGAGGAGGAGCUCCGGGGGAGGAGCUAAGCCAUCUGCCCAGGAAUGUGGAGAUGUAUCUUCAACACAGAGGGCACUUCAGCCCAAUCUGACUCGUGGGAGCAGCUCAGCCCAGUCCGCACCUCAUGCUGGACUCUAUGUAAAAGGGGGACCCAGCUAAGCCCCUCCAGUAGCAGGCAGAGCCCUGAACUGGUCUCCUGCCCUUGUCUCCGUUGCCAUGCCUCUCCCAGCUCCAGAACACCAGCCGUUACUCUCCACCACUCUCCCCUCUCACUUCAGGUUGGAGGCUGAACUCCGAACGUCUCAGGAAUGACACUGACUUUACAAAUCAGCAGCCCCCUCGCCCCUGCUCCCCACCCUCCGCCACCACAUAAUCUCAGGGAACACGCCUGAGGGUGUGACCCAGCCCUGAGACCUUCCACCAGGCAUCACGGGUCCUGUCCUGGGCAACAUCCUGUGUAACCAGUUAGGAAAAAUUUGAUUCAGCCUUGGAGCAAAUGAAAAAGUAACUACAGUUCACACUUGUUAUGUCGUGAGAAGACCUGAAAAAAAAUUAUCUUGUUGACAUAAGGAAGUAAGAAUUUUAAGUGCUGUGUUGGUGAAUAUAUAGAUAUUUUCUUAUCCAAGCGUAAUUGACAUACAAUGUCCUAUUAGUGCUAGGUGUAUAUCACAGCAUUUAAUAUUUUUAUUCACUACGAAAUGAUCCCCAUGCUAAGCCUAGUUACCAUCUGUCGCCAUACAACCUUGCUACAAUAUUAUUGACUGUACUCCCUAUGCUGCACAUUACAUCCCCCUAACUUAUUUAUUAUAUAACCGGAAGUUUGUACCUCUUCAUAGCUUUCACCUGUUUUUCCAGCCCCAAACCCCGCCCCCCUCGCCCCGCCCUGAUCCGAUAACAAACAGCCUAUUUCCUGGAUCUGUGAGUCUGUGUCUGUUUUGUUUUGUUCCUUGGAGAUAUGGAGAUAUAGAGUGAUAUCUUAGUGAUAUAGAGAAGGGCAGGUUGGAGAAUGUUUACUCUCUCAUGAGGGGGGGCGGGGAGCACAGUGAACAAAAAAGCUCUGACUCUUGC
rnacentral:lncRNA from 1 species